GGCUGGUUCUAAAGGGGUUGGCAUGGGAUUCGUGAUUUGGUCUGUUUGUUGGUUUAGCACAGGUGAAAGGCGUCUCGAGAUUGAGGGUGCCUACAUCAGAUGCUACUACCCAGAUGGAGGGAGACCUACGGCUUGCAAGGAGACAAGACUACUCUGCCUCCUAGGUGGUAAAUGGGCAUGUUGAAGUCAUGACGUUUGGGGGAAUACACCUAUCUUCUAUUCUCAUUCAUCAGAUGAAUUUUGCAUGCAUUGAAACUAUAUCUUGGGUGGAAUUUUGACUAACAGAAGAGGCCACAAAGAAG
rnacentral:lncRNA from 1 species